rnacentral:rRNA from 1 species
CUCCUAGUACGAGAGGACCGGAGUGGACGCAUCACUGGUGUUCGGGUUGUCAUGCCAAUGGCACUGCCCGGUAGCUAAAUGCGGAAGAGAUAAGUGCUGAAAGCAUCUAAGCACGAAACUUGCCCCGAGAUGAGUUCUCCCUGAGACUUAAAGUCUCCUGAAGGAACGUUGAAGACGACGACGUUGAUAGGCCGGGUGUGUAAGCGCAGCGAUGCGUUGAGCUAACCGGUACUAAUGAACCGUGAGGCUUAACCCUACAACGCCGAAG